GGGAGUUUCUAGUACGGUAUUGCUUCUAGCAGCUGUCGACACAAGUUACUGGUUUGUGAUAUUUUGAUCUUGGUGCAUUUGAUUCGUUAUUGAAAUAUUUAAGCCUAACUGCAGUUCUAACAGUGAAACAUAUCUGCGUGAGACUCCUGUGUAUGGCUGAACAUGCACUGUUGUAAUCAGUAGCACGUGGCGAAGUUAACCUCGCGCAGCAUUCUGUUGUCUGUGCUUGAUGUAUAAACUGCUUGACUGCACAAAGCCGGAGGCACCGUAACAGUGGAAGGAAGGCAGCGGAUUGGUUUUGCCACGAUACGAGUGCCCGUGGAGGACCCCGAAUUUACGGAGCAGAUAGAGAACAUCACAGUGCCGGCCGGCCGCAACGUCAAGCUGGCAUGUUCAGUGAAGAACCUCGGCACUUACAAGGUUGCGUGGAUGCACUUCGAACAGUCUGCAAUACUGACAGUGCACAACCACGUGAUCACGAGGAAUCCCCGUAUUUCUGUGACACAUGACAAACAUCGCACUUGGUUCCUCCACAUCAGCAACGUCCAGGAGGAAGACAAGGGCCGCUAUAUGUGCCAGAUCAACACUGUUACCGCCAAGACCCAGUUCGGAUAUCUGCACGUAGUGGGUAAGUGU